rnacentral:rRNA from 1 species
UACGGAGGGUGCGAGCGUUAAUCGGAAUAACUGGGCGUAAAGGGCGCGCAGGCGGAUCUUUAAGUCAGGUGUGAAAUCCCCGGGCUUAACCUGGGAAUUGCAUUUGAUACUGGGAGUCUAGAGUACUUUAGAGAGGGGUAGAAUUCCACGUGUAGCGGUGAAAUGCGUAGAGAUGUGGAGGAAUACCGAAGGCGAAGGCAGCCCCUUGGGAAUGUAUUGACGCUCAUGUGCGAAAGCGUGGGGAGCAAACAGG